rnacentral:rRNA from 1 species
AGCGAACGCUGGCGGCAGGCCUAACACAUGCAAGUCGAACGGGCUCUUCGGAGCUAGUGGCGGACGGGUGAGUAACACGUGGGAACGUGCCUUUAGGUUCGGAAUAAGCCCGGGAAACUGGGUCUAAUACCGGAUGUGCCCUUCGGGGGAAAGAUUUAUCGCCUUUAGAGCGGCCCGCGUCUGAUUAGCUAGUUGGUGGUGUAAUGGACCACCAAGGCGAGGAUCAGUAGCUGGUCCGAGAGGAUGAUCAGCCACAUUGGGACUGAGACACGGCCCAAACUCCUACGGGAGGCAGCAGUGGGGAAUCUUGCGCAAUGGGCGAAAGCCUGACGCAGCCAUGCCGCGUGAAUGAUGAAGGUCUUAGGAUUGUAAAAUUCUUUCACCGGGGACGAUAAUGACGGUACCCGGAGAAGAAGCCCCGGCUAACUUCGUGCCAGCAGCCGCAGUAAGAC